UACGUAGGGUGCGAGCGUUAAUCGGAAUUACUGGGCGUAAAGCGUGCGCAGGCGGUGAUGUAAGACAGGUGUGAAAUCCCCGGGCUUAACCUGGGAACUGCAUUUGUGACUGCAUCGCUGGAGUGCGGCAGAGGGGGAUGGAAUUCCGCGUGUAGCAGUGAAAUGCGUAGAUAUGCGGAGGAACACCGAUGGCGAAGGCAAUCCCCUGGGCCUGCACUGACGCUCAUGCACGAAAGCGUGGGGAGCAACAGG
rnacentral:rRNA from 1 species